CGAAAGCCUGACGCAGCGACGCCGCGUGGGUGAUGAAGGCCUUCGGGUCGUAAAGCCCUGUCGGGAGGGAAGAAAUCUCGGCGACCUAAUACGUCGCCGACUUGACGGUACCUCCUAAGGAAGCACCGGCUAACUCCGUGCCAGCAGCCGCGGUAAUACGGAGGGUGCAAGCGUUGCUCGGAAUUACUGGGCGUAAAGCGCGUGUAGGCGGCCUUUUAAGUUCGGUGUGAAAGCUCGGGGCUCACCCCCGGAAGUGCAUCGAAUACUGGGAGGCUCGAGUACCGGAGAGGAGGGUGGAAUUCCUGGUGUAGCGGUGAAAUGCGUAGAUAUCAGGAGGAACACCGGUGGCGAAGGCGGCCCUCUGGACGGAUACUGACGCUGAGACGCGAAAGCGUGGGGAGCAAACAGGAUUAGAUACCCUGGUAGUCCACGCUGUAAACGAUGGGUACUAGGUGUUCGGGGUAUUGACCCCCUGAGUGCCGCAGCUAACGCAUUAAGUACCCCGCCUGGGGAGUACGGCCGCAAGGCUA
rnacentral:rRNA from 1 species